rnacentral:lncRNA from 1 species
CUCUCUAUUUUUUUCUCUUUUUUUUUCAUAUCAAAUCAUUUCCCACCAUAUCUCCUCUUAAUUACCUCCAAAACCAACUCUAAAGAGUUAAUCAACCAUCAAAUCAACAGCCAUCCACCUCUCCUCUCCCCUCUCUCUUAGUUUUUCAUUCUUUUUUUUCAUAUCAGAUCAUUUCCCAUAUCCAUGACCUCUUCUCCUUCCC